UUAUUUUCAUAUAGAUGCUGGAGUCAAAUUCUUCAUGCUUAGCUUAAAGAAAUGUACCAUUUACCAAAUGUAUUGAGGGUUAAUGGUACAUAUUUGUAUUUUCAUUUAUCGAUCAUUACUACUAACCCUUCAGGUGUAUUGUACAUUUUUUCAUUCAUGUUUACAAAAAUGUACUACAUAUAAUAAACUUGUUUGUGGUUAUAUGAAUUUCAUGUUUUAUAUUAAACUUUGUAUUAGAGAAC
rnacentral:lncRNA from 1 species